rnacentral:tRNA from 1 species
GCUACUGUAGCUCAUCUGGCAGAGCAGCACAUUCGUAACGUGCAGGUAGUGGGUUCGAGUCCCACCAGUAGCUCCA